rnacentral:rRNA from 1 species
AGUGAACGCUGGCGGUAGGCCUAACACAUGCAAGUCGAACGGCAGCACAGUAAGAGCUUGCUCUUACGGGUGGCGAGUGGCGGACGGGUGAGGAAUACAUCGGAAUCUACUUUUUCGUGGGGGAUAACGUAGGGAAACUUACGCUAAUACCGCAUACGACCUACGGGUGAAAGCAGGGGAUCUUCGGACCUUGCGCGAUUGAAUGAGCCGAUGUCGGAUUAGCUAGUUGGCGGGGUAAAGGCCCACCAAGGCGACGAUCCGUAGCUGGUCUGAGAGGAUGAUCAGCCACACUGGAACUGGGACACGGUCCAGACUCCUACGGGAGGCAGCAGUGGGGAUAUUGGACAAUGGGCGCAAGCCUGAUCCAGCCAUACCGCGUGGGUGAAGAAGGCCUUCGGGUUGUAAAGCCCUUUUGUUGGGAAAGAAAAGCAGCAGGUUAAUACCCCGCUGUUCUGACGGUACCCAAAGAAUAAGCACCGGCUAACUUCGUG